rnacentral:rRNA from 1 species
GCUCCCGGAUGUUAGCGGCGGACGGGUGAGUAACACGUGGGUAACCUGCCUGUAAGACUGGGAUAACUCCGGGAAACCGGAGCUAAUACCGGAUAGUUCCUUGAACCGCAUGGUUCAAGGAUGAAAGACGGUUUCGGCUGUCACUUACAGAUGGACCCGCGGCGCAUUAGCUAGUUGGUGGGGUAAUGGCUCACCAAGGCGACGAUGCGUAGCCGACCUGAGAGGGUGAUCGGCCACACUGGGACUGAGACACGGCCCAGACUCCUACGGGAGGCAGCAUUAGGGAAUCUUCCGCAAUGGACGAAAGUCUGACGGAGCAACGCCCCGUGAGUGAUGAAGGUUUUCGGAUCGUAAAGUUCUGUUGUUAGGGAAGAACAA